rnacentral:rRNA from 1 species
ACGCUCGACACCUACUGGAGGCAGCAGUGGGGAAUAUUGGGCAAUGGGCGCAAGCCUGACCCAGCAACGCCGCGUGAAGGAAGAAGGCCCUCGGGUUGUAAACUUCUUUUGUCAGGGACGAAGCAAGUGACGGUACCUGACGAAUAAGCCACGGCUAACUACGUGCUAGCAGCCGCGGUAAUCUGAGCGGGCUGGCAAGGC